GACGAACGCUGGCGGCGUGCUUAACACAUGCAAGUCGAACGGAAAGGCCCUGCUUUUGUGGGGUGCUCGAGUGGCGAACGGGUGAGUAACACGUGAGUAACCUGCCCUUGACUUUGGGGUAACUUCAGGAAACUGGGGCUAAUACCGGAUAGGAGCUCCUGCUGCAUGGUGGGGGUUGGAAAGUUUCGGCGGUUGGGGAUGGACUCGCGGCUUAUCAGCUUGUUGGUGGGGUAGUGGCUUACCAAGGCUUUGACGGGUAGCCGGCCUGAGAGGGUGGCCGGCCACAUUGGGACUGAGAUACGGCCCAGACUCCUACGGGAGGCAGCAGUGGGGAAUAUUGCACAAUGGGCGGAAGCCUGAUGCAGCAACGCCGCGUGCGGGAUGACGGCCUUCGGGUUGUAAACCGCUUUCGCCUGUGACGAAGCGUGAGUGACGGUAAUGGGUAAAGAAGCACCGGCUAACUACGUG
rnacentral:rRNA from 1 species